CAGUCGCCGCGGGAAUACGAAGGGUGCAAGCGUUACUCGGAAUUACUGGGCGUAAAGCGUGCGUAGGUGGUGGUUUAAGUCCGUUGUGAAAGCCCUGGGCUCAACCUGGGAAUUGCAGUGGAUACUGGGUCACUAGAGUGUGGUAGAGGAUAGUGGAAUUUCCGGUGUAGCAGUGAAAUGCGUAGAGAUCGGAAGGAACAUCUGUGGCGAAGGCGACUAUCUGGGCCAACACUGACACUGAGGCACGAAAGCGUGGGGGGCAAACAGGAUUAGAUACCCCGGUAGUCCCUGUCUCUUAUAC
rnacentral:rRNA from 1 species